GACGAACGUUGGCGGCGUGCUUAAUACAUGCAAGUCAACUGAAGCAGUGGUAGCAAUAUCGCUGUGGAGGUGGCGCACGGGUGAUUAACACGUAGGUAAUCUGCCUUCAGGUCUGGCAUAACUCCUUGAAACCGGGGCUAAUAGCAGAUGAUGCAGCUGUUCGACAUAUAGAUAGUUGGUAAAAGUAGGUCUUCCUAACAUGUAUCAGUGUCUGAUUAGCUAGUUGGCUGGGUAACGGCCCAACAAGGCAACGAUCAGUCGCUGGUGUGAGAGGAUGAUCAGCAACACUGAAACUGACACACGGCCCAGACUAGUACGGGAGGCAGCAGUAAGGAAUAUUGCUCAAUGGGUGAAAGCCUAAAGCAGCAACGCCGCGUGAGGGACGAAGGGCUUUUGAUUGUAAACCUCUGUAGUGAGAGAAAAAAAUCCCAAUCUUUGGGACAUGAUGGUAUCUAAAAAGUAAGCCACGGCUAACUACGUG
rnacentral:rRNA from 1 species